rnacentral:tRNA from 1 species
GGCGGAUGUNGCCAAGUGGAUCAAGGCAGU